UAAUCUGACAGCGGCUGUUAUUGCCGGCCUU
rnacentral:sRNA from 1 species